ensembl:lncRNA
CCCCCCCGACCCCCCCCGGGUCCGUCCGCGCCGUCGGAGCUGCGGCCGAGCUGGCUUGCAUCCUUGUCACAGCUGGAGGAGAGGUGGAGAUCACCCUUGGUUACCUCCGCGUGCAAAACCCACCUGGAUGGUCACAGCCCUUUGCACAGAGGUCCUUUCCUUCAGCUCGCCCCCAAAUCCUUCGGAGCCAAAGGGGGAGAUGUGGGCACCGGACUGCAGCCUCAGCAGUGGGAAUGGGAAGCCGGGCUGCUGAGAGAGAGGAGGAGGUCUGUGUUGGUGUGGUGUGAUGGUGGUGGGGUGGUUGGGUGCCUCCUCGUGCCAUGACUUUGCUAUUGAGUUGGGGUUCAGCCCGAUGGCUGAGCUCAGCCACAGCCCAAUGGUUGAGCUGUAAUCCAAUGGGUGAGUUUGGUUGUAACCCAAUGGGAGAUGUUGGCCAUAACCCAAUGGGUGAGGUUGGCCAUAACCCAAUGGACGAGGUUGACCAUAACCCAAAGGAUGAGGUUAGCCAUAACCCAAUGGGUGAGGUUGGCCAUAACCCAAUGGGUGAAGUUGGCCAUAACCCAAUGAUUGAGCUCGGCCACAACCUACUGGCUGAGCUUGGCCAUAACCCAACAGCCGAGCUUGGCUGUGGCCCUACCAACCCCCCCCUGCACCCACCCAUCCCAAGGAAACCAAUGAGAUGUGUCCUCCCUGGAGCUCAAAGCCACAUUUGCUCCGCUUUCCCUUUCCCAGAGGCUCUCCAUCG